rnacentral:rRNA from 1 species
UCAAGCGAUAGGUAAGGGCAUCUGGUGAAUGCCUUGGCAAUCAGAGGCGAAGAAGGACGUGAUACACUGCGAAAAGCCGUGGGGAGCUGUGAAUAGGCAUUGAUCCGCGGAUCUCCGAAUGGGGAAACCCACAGAGUAAUCUGUAUCAAUAUCUGAAUCUAUAGGGUAUUGAAGCGAACGCAGGGAACUGAAACAUCUAAGUACCUGUAGGAAAGGAAAUCAACCGAGACUCCGAGAGUAGUGGCGAGCGAAAUCGGACCAGCCAAUUUGCGAUUAGAUAAGAACCGGAAGUGUCUGGGAAGGCACAUCAUAGAGGGUGAUAGUCCCGUACGGGUAGAAAGUUUAAUUGUAAGAGAGUAGGGCGGAGCACGAGAAAUUCUGUCUGAAGAUAGGUCGACCACGAUCUAAGGCUAAGUACUACUGAUUGACCGAUAGUGAACCAGUACCGUGAGGGAAAGGUGAAAAGCACCCCGACAAGGGGAGUGAAAGAGAACCUGAAACCGGAUGCCUACAAGCAGUCGGAGGGGCAUUAAGCCCUGACGGCGUACCUUUUGUAUAAUGGGUCAGCGAGUUAGUUUAUGUAGCAAGCAUAAGCCGAUAGGUGGAUGCGUAGCGAAAGCGAGUGUUAAUAGCGCGUUAAGUUACAUGAAUUAGACCCGAAACCGAGUGAUCUAGCCAUGAACAGGUUGAAGGUUGGGUAACACCAACUGGAGGACCGAACCCACUCCCGUUGAAAAGGUAGGGGAUGAUUUGUGGCUAGGGGUGAAAGGCCAAUCAAACUCGGAAAUAGCUGGUUCUCCGCGAAAACUAUUUAGGUAGUGCGGUAGGCGAACACCAUGAGGGGUAGAGCACUGAAAGAGCUAAGGGGGAGCGAUCCUUACUAAACUUUAUCAAACUCCGAAUACUCAUGAGUGAUACUUACCAGACAGACAGUAGGUGCUAAGGUCUAUUGUCGAGAGGGAAAGAGCCCAGACCGUCAACUAAGGUCCCUAAAUUAUGGCUAAGUGGUAAAGGAAGUGGGAUAUCCAAAACAGUCAGGAGGUUGGCUUAGAAGCAGCCAUCCUUUAAAGAAAGCGUAAUAGCUCACUGAUCUAAAUAAGACGUCCUGCGCCGAAGAUGUAACGGGGCUAAAGCCAUAUACCGAAGUUACGGGAUUGUAUUGCAAUAGAUACAAUCGGUAGCGGAGCGUUCUGUAGGCCUGCGAAGGUGAACCGUAAGGUUUGCUGGAGGUAUCAGAAGUGAGAAUGCUGACAUGAGUAGCGAAAAGAAGAGUGAGAGACUCUUCCGCUGAAAGUCCAAGGUUUCCUGCGUAAAGCUAAUCUGCGCAGGGUUAGUCGGCCCCUAAGGCGAGGCAGAGAUGCGUAGCUGAUGGGAACACGGUUAAUAUUCCGUGACCAGUUAGGAAGUGACGGAUACAGUAGUUUGUACAUGCUUAAUGGAUUGUGUGUGCAAGUGAUGUGUCCCGGGAAAUAGCCCUAACGAAGACCGUACCCGAAACCGACACAGGUGGACAGGUAGAGUAUACCAAAGCGCUUGAGAGAACUAUGUUGAAGGAACUAGGCAAAAUGCUUGUGUAACUUCGGGAUAAGCAAGCCCGGUUUUAAGGCAACUUAAGGCCGGGGGCACAUACUAGGGGGUAGCGACUGUUUAACAAAAACACAGGACUCUGCGAAAUUGAAAGAUGAAGUAUAGGGUCUGACGCCUGCCCGGUGCCGGAAGGUUAAGGAGAGAUGUGAGAGCAUUGAACUGAAGCCCCGGUAAACGGCGGCCGUAACUAUAACGGUCCUAAGGUAGCGAAAUUCCUUGUCGGGUAAGUUCCGACCUGC